UGAUUGAGGCAAUGUGGCAGAUACUGCAAGCUAUUUACUAAAAUUUCUUUCCUCCCAGUCUAUAUUUUCCAGCUUCCCUUGUGGUUAGUGUGAUGAAGUAAGGAAGUCUGAGCCAGUGCAAAGUGAGAACUAAUGUGUUCCACUUCCAGGCCAGGCCCGUAACUUCCCGCCAGUGCUCUUCCAUGCUCUUUUCCCUUCCAGCUGACUGGCAUCGAGGGG
rnacentral:lncRNA from 1 species